GGGUAAUACAGUGGAACUUGUUGCCAAACUCCGAUAUUAUUUUUAGAUUUAGUGUAAUCCACAUGGUGUUUUAGAAUAACUUUGGUCUUCUUUUUGUGCAAUGUCAGUCAGUAUGAAUGGACUUUUGAGUUGUAAGCAUGCCUGUUCCAGCCAUAGUUCACUGUAAUGUCCUAAUACUGUAAAUGUAUUAUAUUUGGCGUGUAUGAUAUUUGGCGGAAAACAGUUUUUUAACAAGUUGGCGUGGAUUUGAAUUAGCUUAUUCCUGAAUGUGACUAUUUUAACACAUGUAUGCAUGGCAUUUAGCAAUUUACCUUGAUUUAGCGGAAGUCGCAUUUCGCCAAAAACGCUAAAUAGAGUACACAGCCAAAUGUAAUUCGUUUACAGUAUUUUACACUCUGAAUUACAAAACUGUACACCUGUCUUUGUCUCUUGUUCUGAAUAUUAGACUGUGCAUGUAACAUUGUCUAAUGUUAUUUGUGCUGUAUUUGUGCAAUAUUGUAGUUGUUUAAUCAAAGAUGUUGUUUUGAUUAAAAAAGUGUUCAACACU
rnacentral:sRNA from 1 species